GCCAAAUUCAAGAACUCUCAGGCCAAAGGGAAAGUUCUAUAAGCAACCAGAAGGAAACAAUUUAAAAAUCAUGGAGUCACAGUCAGGAUUACAUAGGACUUAACAGCAUCUACAUUAAAGAAGAUGUGGAAUCUGAUUUCCUGAGAGACAAAGGGCCUAGGACAACAACCUAGAGUUACAUACCCAGAAAAACUGAACAUAAACCUUCAGGGGGAAAACUUAACAUUCAAUGAAAUGGAAGAAUUUCAGACUUUCUUUACCAAAAAGUCAGAACUGAAAAUUUGAUGAACAAAUUUGAUACUGAAGAGAACAGAAAAAAGACUCAGCUGAAGCACCACCUUCUUCAUGAAGCCUUUCAAGAUGCCCUCCAGCUACUGGUAGUCUCUUCAAAAAAAAUUACCAGCCUAGAGGAACAUGAUGAAAACUUAUCAUGUGACACUUAUGAGGUUAAAAGAGCUCCCUCGGCCACCAUCGAACUUCACAAACUGCCUGGCAUCCCAGAAUGGAACUAGGAGAUGAUGGGCAACAGAGGACUGCCUAAAGAAUUACAACCAUUCAGAAGUUGACCAGCAUGACUUAUCAGUCUAUAAAGGAUGACUUUUAUGGAGAAACUCCAUUGCUAUUUCAGAAUUCUCUCGUCCCCAUUACACGUCGAACAUGUGGAAAUUGUUCUCUGGAAAGUACAGGUCAGAAGCUAUAUCUAGAGUCUUUGAAUGGAUUCAGAUAUUGAAAAAUGGGAAAAAUAACAUAGCCCAUGCCAAGCUACUUGGCGUAACCUGCCAAAGGUGCCUACUUUUCUGGAGGGAGUAACCAAGGAAUACUGGGCAAGAAUCCAUAAGGAAAAAAAGAAAGAAACCUUUAUUAAGCACCUACUAUGUGUCAGGCACUGCGCUAAACACUGAGGAUUCAAAAGACGGUAAAAGGCAGAUGCUGUUUCAAGGAGCUCACAGUAUAAUGAAGGAGACAACAUGCAAAUAGCUACAUACAAACUAGUUAUAGACAGGAUAAAUUGGAGAAAAUCAACAGGGACGUGGUAUGGGCUAUUAGGCAUUAAUUAUUAUCAUGAUAAUCAUCAACACAAUAAUUAACCAUUGGUGUAAUUAAUGAUUAGUGAGCAUAAUGAUUAGUCCUUAACAUAAUCUAUGAAUAACUCUUACCAUUAAGGGAGAUUAGAUAAGGCUCUAUGCCUGUAAGCUAGAGAGAGAACUCAACUACUAGGUUCUAGUCAGUGUGAUCAUCCCCUCACCUCUUUAACUGCCUUAGCUGAACAAUGUUUCUGUAUUUGGGCAAUGGACUUUCCCAGUUUCGGAGUUACCAAUGAAAUCACAGGUUCGGUCCCAAUGUCCAUGUCAAUGAAAUGGAAUAUAUGAAUGCAGCAAGUGUGACUAUUCAGCAAAGUUGGUCCCAUUUACCCUCUGCUGUUCUCUUGGUCACCUAUGAGUCCCUGUGUGUUCAAUGAGCAUAU
rnacentral:lncRNA from 1 species